rnacentral:tRNA from 1 species
GUUUCUGUGGUGUAACUGCACAUUAGGUUUUCAUCCUUUAGGUAUAAAUUAUAUUUAUCAGAAAUU